rnacentral:rRNA from 1 species
UACGGAGGGGGCUAUCGUUGUUCGGAAUUACUGGGCGUAAAGCGCGCGUAGGCGGACCUGCAAGUCGGGGGUGAAAGCCCGAGGCUCAACCUCGGAACUGCCUUCGAUACUGCGGGUCUCGAGUCCGGGAGAGGUGAGUGGAAUUCCUAGUGUAGAGGUGAAAUUCGUAGAUAUUCGCAAGAACACCAGUGGCGAAGGCGGCUCACUGGCCCGGUACUGACGCUGAGGUGCGAAAGCGUGGGGAGCAAACAGG